GCAGCGAAGAGUAUAUAAAAGUAGGGCAAGGAGGAUUCCCAGAACAGAUGCCCAAAGUAAACUUGGCUCCGAGAGGUAUAUUUGAGCUGGACUUUUGUGAAGCAGUCAGAAGGAACCUCGCUCUUGCUUCAAGCAGACACUCACUCAGCCACACGGUUGUUGUGAUUUUAUUUAUUUAAGACGCUGGAAAGAGUGAAAUAGAAGCAACAACAACAAAAACUACUCCUACUACUACUACCACUACCACUACUACUACUACUACUACUACUACUACUACUUCUCAAGAUGGGGAACAUAGUCGUCUCGGAGGAGGACACAAAAACCAACGAGAAGAAAACGUACAACAUCGACAUGAGAAACAGCACCAUCACACUCCAUUACCACGAAGCACCGCGAAAUUCCUCAAGACGUUCAAUCAACCCCAACUUCUCCCCACAAAUAGAACUCCGCCCGCCACUAAUGCUAGGAACAACACAACAACUGACACUGCCCUCCGCUAAACGAUAUUCAUAACAACCACAACCGUCAUCACCACGAGAGAGAGAGAGAGAGAGAGAGAGAGAGAGAGAGAGAGAGAGAGAGAGAGAUGAAGGUAAAAUUAAUAUACUGAGAACUAGAAAAGGAGGGAAAAAAAAAAUGAUGAGAGAGAGAGAGAGAGAGAGAGAGAGAGAGAGAGAGAGAGAGAGAGAGAGAGAGAGAGAGAGAGAGAGAGAGAGAGAGAGAGAGAGAGAGAGAGAGAGAGAGAGAGAGAGA